rnacentral:rRNA from 1 species
AUAUAGUUUGAUUCUAGCUACCCUGUUGAUUAGACCAAUAACUUACAUGCAACCCAGACGUACCCCGAGUUAAGAACACAUCUCCCUAAAAGUGCAUAACACUCGCCCGCAGUAAAAAAAUCUGCGACAAUUUACGAAAGUAUGAUCCGGUAAACGGUCAUCCAGGGCCGGUCAAAUUCGUGCCAGCAACCGCGGUUAGACGAUAGGCCCUAGUCAACAAUUUCGGGAUCGUUGGUGAUUUUAACUAUAGACAUAAAACAAGUUAUAUAAGGUCCAAUUUCAAACCCUUAUCUACCCUUAAUCUCUUCUUAUUAAUCCAAGACCACUUAGACAAAAACAAGGAUUAGAUACCCUUUUAUUCUAAGUAAUAAACCAAACCCCGGGGACUAAAAACCAGCGUUUCAAACCUAAAGAACUUGGCGGUACUUUAAUCCAACUAGGGGAACCUGUCCAUAAAAUCGAUAAUCCCCGUUACACCCUACCUUUCCUUGCCGACCAGCCUGUGUACUGCCGUCGUAAGCCCACUCCUAAAGAUAAAGAAGUGAGCCAAACAAACCCAACCUUUACUAUGUCAGGUCAUAGUGCAGCCUAUGGAGAGGUUGAGAUGGGUUACAAACCUAACCCGGACCCUCAAACGCUAUGAAAAUUCGUAAAAAGUAGGACUUAGAAGUAAUUCAGUUUUAGAAUAACAGAAUGAAUUAGGCCAUUUAAAGUGUGCACACAUCGCCCGUCGCUCUCGCCGAAAGGUGAGAUAAGUCGUAACAUAGUAGGUGUAGUGGAAACUGCGCCUU